GCCUGGCUGGCUCAGUCGGUAGAGCAUGUGACUCUUGAUCUCAAGGUUGUGAGUUUACGCCUCAUGUUGGGUG
rnacentral:tRNA from 2 species